GAGACUCUGUGCGCGUGCAUAUCAAUAAGCGGAGGAAAAGAAACUAACAAGGAUUCCCCUAGUAACGGCGAGUGAAGCGGGAAGAGCUCAAAUUUGAAAUCUUAAAGGGUUUCCCUUUACGAAUUGUAGUUUAAAGAAGUGUUUUCUGUAGUGGAGUUUGGUAAAAGUUCUUUGGAAUAGGACAUCAUAGAGGGUGAGAAUCCCGUAUUUGACCAGUUACUUUCCAGCUGUGUGAUACACUUUCAAAGAGUCGGAUUGUUUGGGAAUGCAGUCCAAAAUGGGUGGUAAAUUUCAUCUAAAGCUAAAUAUUGGCGAGAGACCGAUAGCGAACAAGUACCGUGAGGGAAAGAUGAAAAGAACUUUGAAAAGAGAGUUAAACAGUACGUGAAAUUGUCAAAAGGGAAGCGUUUGACACCAGUGUUGUUUAGUUCCGAAAAUCAAUUCACUAAUUUUUGAUUUUGAGUAGUUAUGACUUCAUCAGCUUGCUGCCUUUCUUUAGGAAACUUUCUUGAAUGCACUUUUCAGUUAACAAGUCAACAUCAAUUUCUUUUGUUGUAAAAGGGUAUGAGGAAGGUGGCUUUCUUUUCGGAGAAAGUGUUUAUAGCCUUGUGCCUCUGCAAUCGGAGAGAUUGAGGUCUGCAGCGUAGAUCCUUCGGGGUUAGAUACAUUUGUGCUAAGUUAUAGCUUUUCAUAGACAACUUGUUGACUAUGUUUAGUCUUGUAGCUUACUCGCUUACUGCUAUUUUACCUACGCUUAGGAUGUUGAGUCGUAGAGCACGCAG
rnacentral:rRNA from 1 species